rnacentral:lncRNA from 1 species
GUUUCUGUGUUUAGGGUUUGGCAAACUGGUGUUUUCACUCUCAGGGGCUAGCUCCAUUUGUCUGGCCACUUUUCUGACUACAGUGCUGGGUACUGCACCUUUACAACAAGGCUGUGAGGGCUGAGCACUCAGAGGCAGAGGCUGGGGGAUCCCUGAGUUCAAGGCUACCCAGGGCUACGCAGAAGGGCACCUGGUUCCCCAGCAUCCCAGACAACAGUCCCCUGUGUGGCUCCUGGUGUGAUGUGCACUAGGCCCAGAAGGACAUGGAGAGAAUGUGCACAGCCUUGUCCCGGCGCUGGAAAACAGAAGCUAACCUGUAAGCAACUAGAGGAUGUUUUCAGCUCGUGAGGAAGACUUAGCUUUUAAAAAGUAAAAAGCAGGAACAGGAAUAUGCCACCACACCUUGCUGGGAGCAGGGAUAACACGCCCAAAGAAAAGGGAUGAGCCGGGUCACUGAUCCUCACAAGGCCUGAAGAAGAGGUGGGACUCAUCACGAGGCCACAAAGAAAUACACAUUUUUUUUCUGGAGGUGGAUUUUCUGUUUGCUGAACAGAGCAGAUGGCUGUGCUUGAGAGGGGAAAGGAAAUUGCUAACCCUGUCCCCUGGCAUAGAAGAAAAAAUUGACGAAGUCACCAGGCUGGGCUCCAGCCCCUCUUCUGCAGCCUCAGCAGAUUUCUCUGCUGACACUCUGCCAUCAGA